GAUGAACGCUGGCGGCGUGCCUAAUACAUGCCAGUCGAGCGAACAGAUAAGGAGCUUGCUCCUUUGACGUUAGCGGCGGACGGGUGAGUAACACGUGGGUAACCUACCUAUAAGACUGGGAUAACUUCGGGAAACCGGAGCUAAUACCGGAUAACAUUUGGAACCGCAUGGUUCUAAAGUGAAAGAUGGUUUUGCUAUCACUUAUAGAUGGACCCGCGCCGUAUUAGCUAGUUGGUAAGGUAACGGCUUACCAAGGCGACGAUACGUAGCCGACCUGAGAGGGUGAUCGGCCACACUGGAACUGAGACACGGUCCAGACUCCUACGGGAGGCAGCAGUAGGGAAUCUUCCGCAAUGGGCGAAAGCCUGACGGAGCAACGCCGCGUGAGUGAUGAAGGGUUUCGGCUCGUAAAACUCUGUUAUUAGGGAAGAACAAAUGUGUAAGUAACUGUGCACGUCCUGACGGUACCUAAUCAGAAAGCCACGGCUAACUACGUG
rnacentral:rRNA from 1 species